UACGAAGGGGGCUAGCGUUGCUCGGAAUCACUGGGCGUAAAGCGCACGUAGGCGGAUUGCUAAGUCAGGGGUGAAAUCCUGGAGCUCAACUCCAGAACUGCCUUCGAUACUGGGAGUCUUCGAGUUCGGGAGAGGUGAGUGGAACUGCGAGUGUAGAGGUGAAAUUCGUAGAUAUUCGCAAGAACACCAGUGGCGAAGGCGGCUCACUGGCCCGAUACUGACGCUGAGGUGCGAAAGCGUGGGGAGCAAACAGG
rnacentral:rRNA from 1 species